AAAAGAGGGCAUAUGACAAUGAGAGAGUACUAUGCUCACCAGAUCCAAACAAGAUCAACUGAGGGUAUGACUAUGAUUAAGUCAGGAAGAUUGUUUUAUCAGUAUAUUGUUGAUGCUUACACGGCCACAAAGCAAGAUAUAUUACAGUUGAUCAGACAUAACCAGAAAACUGAGGUCUGAGUUAUAUACAAACAUUUGCUAUGUAUUAGACCGUGGAGAUACAAAUGCUAGCCACAUGGGAAAAAGUCAUAUUGCCUUCUUCGUUCACUGCAGGACCUCAAUAUAUGUCUGAGAAAUAUCAAGAUGCCAUGGCUAUCUGUCAUUGGUAUGGUAAUCCCAAGCUUCUCAUCACCUUCACAGCCAACACAAAUUGCGUUCAACUGAAAGAACACUUAAAUGUCUAUGGAGGUGAUUCACCCAACAACAGGCCUGAUCUUGAGUGCAGAGUUUUUAAGCUUAAGUUAGAAGAGAUGAUGUCAGACUUUAAAAAGGUGUGUUCUUCCCAAAAUGGCUGCAGGUUUUAAAAGAGAAGCAACUGCUGUGGUUAUUGAUCAAUACAUAUCAGCUGCAUUCCUAGAAAAAGAAACAGACAGAGAGGGAUUGUAUUUGGUUGAGCACCACAUGAUUCACGGGCCUUGUGGAACAAACAAACUCUGUCACCACGUAUGGAAAAGAGAGAAUGCACAAAUAAGUACCCCAAGCCUUACUCAAAAACAACAAAGAUCGACAAAUCUGGUUUUGUUGUUUACAAGAGGUCGGUUGAUACCAGAGACUGUUCUGAAAGGUGAUAUUGAGUUGGAUAAUCGUUAUGUGGUGCCACAUAACCUCACCAACCUCAAAAAAUAUCAGGCACACAUUAAUAUCGAGUGGUGCUGCAAAACAAGUGCCAUCAAAUAUCUCUUCAAAUAUAUAACCAAAGGAUCACUCACGAACAAACGAAUCGCGACUUUGAUCACUCGUGUGUCAAACGUAAAGAGAACGAAGAGAAAGAAUCUAAAGCGAUCAACACAAGCAAGUUUUAGAGUUCCCCGUUAAUCUCUGGGUACAUCUCCUUCAGGACGGGACCUGUUUCAGAGAGCUCGAUGAUGAGAAGAGGAAGAAGGUUGUUACAUAACAACCUUUACUGCAAACUUUAUAUCAGUUGCAAUUGGGCCGAAGCCCAUACUCGAAGAUUGCUGUGAUGGGUCACACACCACAAUCCUCAC